GUCGAACGGUAGAGGGGGCAACCCCUUGAGAGUGGCGAACGGGUGAGUAAUAUAUCGGAACGUGCCCAGUCGUGGGGGAUAACGUAGCGAAAGUUACGCUAAUACCGCAUACGAUCUACGGAUGAAAGCGGGGGAUCGCAAGACCUCGCGCGAUUGGAGCGGCCGAUAUCAGAUUAGGUAGUUGGUGGGGUAAAGGCUCACCAAGCCAACGAUCUGUAGCUGGUCUGAGAGGACGACCAGCCACACUGGAACUGAGACACGGUCCAGACUCCUACGGGAGGCAGCAGUGGGGAAUUUUGGACAAUGGACGCAAGUCUGAUCCAGCCAUUCCGCGUGCAGGAUGAAGGCCCUCGGGUUGUAAACUGCUUUUGUACGGAACGAAAAGGUUUCUCUUAAUACGAGGAGCUCAUGACGGUACCGUAAGAAUAAGCACCGGCUAACUACGUGCCAGCAGCCGCGGUAAUACGUAGGGUGCAAGCGUUAAUCGGAAUUACUGGGCGUAAAGCGUGCGCAGGCGGUUAUGUAAGACAGAGGUGAAAUCCCCGGGCUCAACCUGGGAACUGCCUUUGUGACUGCAUAGCUAGAGUACGGUAGAGGGGGAUGGAAUUCCGCGUGUAGCAGUGAAAUGCGUAGAUAUGCGGAGGAACACCGAUGGCGAAGGCAAUCCCCUGGACUUGUACUGACGCUCAUGCACGAAAGCGUGGGGAGCAAACAGGAUUAGAUACCCUGGUAGUCCACGCCCUAAACGAU
rnacentral:rRNA from 1 species